rnacentral:rRNA from 1 species
GACGUAGGGCGCGAGCGUUGUCCGGAUUUAUUGGGCGUAAAGAGCUCGUAGGCGGCUCGUUGCGUCGGCUGUGAAAACCCGCAGCUCAACUGUGGGCUUGCAGCUGAUACGGGCGGGCUGGGAUUCGGUAGGGGAGACUGGAAUUCCUGGUGUAGCGGUGAAAUGCGCAGAUAUCAGGAGGAACACCGGUGGCGAAGGCGGGUCUCUGGGCCGAUAUCGACGCUGAGGAGCGAAAGCGUGGGGAGUGAACAGG